rnacentral:rRNA from 1 species
GCUGGCGGCGUGCCUAAUACAUGCAAGUUGAGCGCUGAAGGUUGGUACUUGUACCGACUGGAUGAGCAGCGAACGGGUGAGUAACGCGUGGGGAAUCUGCCUUUGAGCGGGGGACAACAUUUGGAAACGAAUGCUAAUACCGCAUAAAAACUUUAAACACAAGUUUUAAGUUUGAAAGAUGCAAUUGCAUCACUCAAAGAUGAUCCCGCGUUGUAUUAGCUAGUUGGUGAGGUAAAGGCUCACCAAGGCGAUGAUACAUAGCCGACCUGAGAGGGUGAUCGGCCACAUUGGGACUGAGACACGGCCCAAACUCCUACGGGAGGCAGCAGUAGGGAAUCUUCGGCAAUGGACGAAAGUCUGACCGAGCAACGCCGCGUGAGUGAAGAAGGUUUUCGGAUCGUAAAACUCUGUUGGUAGAGAAGAACGUUGGUGAGAGUGGAAAGCUCAUCAAGUGACGGUAACUACCCAGAAAGGGACGGCUAACUACGUGCCAGCAGCCGCGGUAAUACGUAGGUCCCGAGCGUUGUCCGGAUUUAUUGGGCGUAAAGCGAGCGCAGGUGGUUUAUUAAGUCUGGUGUAAAAGGCAGUGGCUCAACCAUUGUAUGCAUUGGAAACUGGUAGACUUGAGUGCAGGAGAGGAGAGUGGAAUUCCAUGUGUAGCGGUGAAAUGCGUAGAUAUAUGGAGGAACACCGGUGGCGAAAGCGGCUCUCUGGCCUGUAACUGACACUGAGGCUCGAAAGCGUGGGGAGCAAACAGGAUUAGAUACCCUGGUAGUCCACGCCGUAAACGAUGAGUGCUAGAUGUAGGGAGCUAUAAGUUCUCUGUAUCGCAGCUAACGCAAUAAGCACUCCGCCUGGGGAGUACGACCGCAAGGUUGAAACUCAAAGGAAUUGACGG